UUUGCCCAGGGUUAUCUAAAUUGUUAAGCAUUUUUGGAUCCAAGCAUUAUGGGUCUCCAUUUGAAUUUUAAAUGUAAUUUAAAUGUAAUUAUUAUUUUUUUUAAAUAAAAUGAAUGCAACUAGUCUAAACCAUGUUGAACAUUACAUUUCAUAAUUUAGCACACAACAGUAAAUAAUGGCACUUCCUUGAUUUAAAAAAGUUAUCUAUUCUUCUAUGUUUUAACGUCUAUACUAUUAAGUUUACUCUUGAAUCUUUCUGAAAAUUGUUGCCUCAUGUAUGCUAAACUUGUGACAUUCCUUAUUUGUUGCUGAAUGAUUAAAAGUAAAUGUUGAUCUUCCAAAACAAAGUGAAUACUUUGAAGAAAAAAAAAGCGAUGAGAGGUCGAUAGAGACUCUUUUCCCUACAAGUAAGAGACCAUGUGCUGAUACUUGAACCUCAGCACAUAAACUCUUACUGUUCAGGGCUAAGGGCAUCGUGCAGGGACGGACACACACACACACACACACACACACACACACACACACUGAUUCACAGCCACUCUGAGAAUUAUUAAUUACACAUUCAGCCUCUAAAAGAAGAUAAACUUGGCAGUGUCAGACCUUGAAACAGAAAAGCAGAAAAAAUUAUGUGUGACACAAUCAGCAACAUGUUUUUCCCUUAUAAAAGUUUAAAUUCUGUAUUUUUAAAAAUCUGAUUUUAAGUUUUUUUUUUAGAUCAAUAAAUUCUAUCCAUUUUAAAAGGACAAAGACAAAUUGACAAGAUACAUUAAAAGCAGUGAUUAGAAAUGUAAACUAUAGUCUGUGAUUUAUCAGUUCCAAUUCUACCUGACCCAAACGUGCCCCUGUAACAAAUAGACGCACAAGAAGGAACAGCCAAACCACAAGAAUUUGAAGGUUUUUGUCCAGAACAAACAUAUCCUCUUCACCAAAACCUUACCAAUGAUAACACAGAGAGUUCCUGCAGCUCAGAAAGAAAGAAAGAUAGAAAGAAAGAAGACAUGAGUUUGGGAAGUUGAGAAGUCAGGAAAUUAACUUUGGCUUAUGAUACGCACUGUCCACAUAAACAGGAAAACCAUGAAGUGGCAGGACCGUGUGUUUGGAUCAGGCUGGAAAUAAAUAAUAAGUAACUCAAACCACACUCGGCUGGAUGAAUUCCUGAAUUCCUGGUUAUAAAACACAGCCUGGCCCUCUAAAAGAAAAA